GAUAAAGAAAUGGAGCCCCAGAGAUCGAGAUAGUUACCCAUGUCCACAGACGCGGGCCAUUUUGUGUGGUUCAAGUGCAGGUUGCGGCGAGACAAUGGACUGAAAGCAGCAAACAAAUGCUGAGAGCUCACUAAGGU